AUUGAACGCUGGCGGUAGGCCUAACACAUGCAAGUCGAGCGGAUGAAGGGAGCUUGCUCCUGGAUUCAGCGGCGGACGGGUGAGUAAUGCCUAGGAAUCUGCCUGGUAGUGGGGGAUAACGUCCGGAAACGGGCGCUAAUACCGCAUACGUCCUGAGGGAGAAAGUGGGGGAUCUUCGGACCUCACGCUAUCAGAUGAGCCUAGGUCGGAUUAGCUAGUUGGUGGGGUAAAGGCCUACCAAGGCGACGAUCCGUAACUGGUCUGAGGGGAUGAUCAGUCACACUGGAACUGAGACACGGUCCAGACUCCUACGGGAGGCAGCAGUGGGGAAUAUUGGACAAUGGGCGAAAGCCUGAUCCAGCCAUGCCGCGUGUGUGAAGAAGGUCUUCGGAUUGUAAAGCACUUUAAGUUGGGAGGAAGGGCAGUAAGUUAAUACCUUGCUGUUUUGACGUUACCAACAGAAUAAGCACCGGCUAACUUCGUG
rnacentral:rRNA from 1 species